rnacentral:rRNA from 1 species
GAUGAACGCUGGCGGCGUGCCUAAUACAUGCAAGUCGAGCGAACGGACGAGAAGCUUGCUUCUCUGAUGUUAGCGGCGGACAGGUGGGUAACACGUGGAUAACCUACCUAUAAGACUGGGAUAACUUCGGGAAACCGGAGCUAAUACCGGAUAAUAUUUUGAACCGCAUGGUUCAAAAGUGAAAGACGGUCUUGCUGUCACUUAUAGAUGGAUCCGCGCUGCAUUAGCUAGUUGGUAAGGUAACGGCUUACCAAGGCAACGAUGCAUAGCCGACCUGAGAGGGUGAUCGGCCACACUGGAACUGAGACACGGUCCAGACUCCUACGGGAGGCAGCAGUAGGGAAUCUUCCGCAAUGGGCGAAAGCCUGACGGAGCAACGCCGCGUGAGUGAUGAAGGUCUUCGGAUCGUAAAGCUCUGUUAUUAGGGAAGAACAUAUGUGUAAGUAACUGUGCACAUCUUGACGGUACCUAAUCAGAAAGCCACGGCUAACUACGUGCCAGCAGCCGCGGUAAUACGUAGGUGGCAAGCGUUAUCCGGAAUUAUUGGGCGUAAAGCGCGCGUAGGCGGUUUUUUAAGUCUGAUGUGAAAGCCCACGGCUCAACCGUGGAGGGUCAUUGGAAACUGGAAAACUUGAGUGCAGAAGAGGAAAGUGGAAUUCCAUGUGUAGCGGUGAAAUGCGCAGAGAUAUGGAGGAACACCAGUGGCGAAGGCGACUUUCUGGUCUGUAACUGACGCUGAUGUGCGAAAGCGUGGGGAUCAAACAGGAUUAGAUACCCUGGUAGUCCACGCCGUAAACGAUGAGUGCUAAGUGUUAGGGGGUUUCCGCCCCUUAGUGCUGCAGCUAACGCAUUAAGCACUCCGCCUGGGGAGUACGACCGCAAGGUUGAAACUCAAAGGAAUUGACGGGGACCCGCACAAGCGGUGGAGCAUGUGGUUUAAUUCGAAGCAACGCGAAGAACCUUACCAAAUCUUGACAUCCUUUGACAACUCUAGAGAUAGAGCCUUCCCCUUCGGGGGACAAAGUGACAGGUGGUGCAUGGUUGUCGUCAGCUCGUGUCGUGAGAUGUUGGGUUAAGUCCCGCAACGAGCGCAACCCUUAAGCUUAGUUGCCAUCAUUAAGUUGGGCACUCUAAGUUGACUGCCGGUGACAAACCGGAGGAAGGUGGGGAUGACGCCAAAUCAUCAUGCCCCUUAUGAUUUGGGCUACACACGUGCUACAAUGGACAAUACAAAGGGCAGCGAAACCGCGAGGUCAAGCAAAUCCCAUAAAGUUGUUCUCAGUUCGGAUUGUAGUCUGCAACUCGACUACAUGAAGCUGGAAUCGCUAGUAAUCGUAGAUCAGCAUGCUACGGUGAAUACGUUCCCGGGUCU